GAGUUCGCGGGAGAGUAAGUUAUUGCCAGGGUUUUUAUUUUAUACUUUAAAUCUUGAAUUUAUUUUUUAAAUGUGUUUAUAUUAUUUGAAUAAAACAUUCAAAUAAUAUAAAAAAUAAUAUAUAUAUUGACAUGGAUUAAACAAAGAUAUAUAUUAUUCUAUGUUGUAUGAACAAAUUGGCAAAAUAGAGAUGGAAGAUAAAAAUAUGGUCAAAGUAAUAAGAGUCUAUGGUGAAUGCC
rnacentral:misc_RNA from 1 species